ACCUGGCGGGGUGCUAUACAUGCAAGUCGAGCGGACCGACGGGAGCUUGCUCCCUUAGGUCAGCGGCGGACGGGUGAGUAACACGUGGGUAACCUGCCUGUAAGACUGGGAUAACUCCGGGAAACCGGGGCUAAUACCGGAUGCUUGAUUGAACCGCAUGGUUCAAUCAUAAAAGGUGGCUUUUAGCUACCACUUACAGAUGGACCCGCGGCGCAUUAGCUAGUUGGUGAGGUAACGGCUCACCAAGGCGACGAUGCGUAGCCGACCUGAGAGGGUGAUCGGCCACACUGGGACUGAGACACGGCCCAGACUCCUACGGGAGGCAGCAGUAGGGAAUCUUCCGCAAUGGACGAAAGUCUGACGGAGCAACGCCGCGUGAGUGAUGAAGGUUUUCGGAUCGUAAAACUCUGUUGUUAGGGAAGAACAAGUACCGUUCGAAUAGGGCGGUACCUUGACGGUACCUAACCAGAAAGCCACGGCUAACUACGUGCCAGCAGCCGCGGUAAUACGUAGGUGGCAAGCGUUGUCCGGAAUUAUUGGGCGUAAAGCGCGCGCAGGCGGUUUCUUAAGUCUGAUGUGAAAGCCCCCGGCUCAACCGGGGAGGGUCAUUGGAAACUGGGGAACUUGAGUGCAGAAGAGGAGAGUGGAAUUCCACGUGUAGCGGUGAAAUGCGUAGAGAUGUGGAGGAACACCAGUGGCGAAGGCGACUCUCUGGUCUGUAACUGACGCUGAGGCGCGAAAGCGUGGGGAGCGAACAGGAUUAGAUACCCUGGUAGUCCACGCCGUAAACGAUGAGUGCUAAGUGUUAGAGGGUUUCCGCCCUUUAGUGCUGCAGCAAACGCAUUAAGCACUCCGCCUGGGGAGUACGGUCGCAGACUGAUACUUCAAAGGAUUGAACGGGGCCCGCACCAGCUGUGGAGCAUGUGGUUUAGUUCAAAGCAUCGCCGAAAGAACUUACACGUCUUGACAGCUCUGACAACCCUAGAGAUAUGCGUUCUCGUUCGGGGGCAGACUGACCAGAUGUGCAUGAUGGUCGUCAGCUCCGUGUCGUGAGAAUGUUUGGGUUGAGUUCACAGCACCCUGAACGCAGCCCUU
rnacentral:rRNA from 1 species